rnacentral:pre_miRNA from 1 species
UUUGUACUCCCUUCGUUCCAAAUUACUCAUCGUAGAAAUGGAUGUAUCUAGAACUAAAAUACAUCUAGAUACAUCCAUACCUGCGACAAGUAAUUCGGAACGGAGGGAGUACUAC